CUCAUGCCAUUUUGAAAUGUCUUAACUUGAAAUGCCAAUAAAGAUUAUUGUAUUGUAUUGUAUUGUAUUAUGAUUAACAUGGGAAGUCAGGGGGCCUUGGAUGGCUUCUGAGGGUGCUAAGGAGGGCUUCUGAGGGUGCCAUGGAGUCCACAUGCCACAUGUGUCACAAGGGAGGGGGGUCCUCUGUCAUCAUUUCUUUAUUACUAAAUACCCUACCUUGAGUCCUAGUGUCCCCAGCCCUGUCUAUAUAUGGUCUCCUGUGAUGUCACAAACAUACAUAGCAGCUGAGGGGAAAGAGGCAGUUUCUUAUUCUAGAAUUUCAAACAUAGGAGGGCAGGAGGGGGACAUUUUUCAGCCCAGGGGCUGCAUUUCCCUCUUUGAAUAAAGUUUGGACACCACUGCCCUAAGCCAUGCCCUCUCACCAGGCCUCUUUUCCCAGGGCUGUGCUGCAAUGUUUCAAUGGUGAUUAUUAUUGUUUUGCUGCAAAUUAUUGGCCUCUUUUUGGUUAGAAACAGAUGAAACUACCUUAUUUUUGCUCCACAUUUCAUACCAUUCUUCUUGAGGUGCAUUAUUUAAGUUAGGAAGGCAGAAAGAUAAAGCAAGACAAAAUCAAGCAUGUCAAAGCAUUUGCAGACACAAGAAAGUAAAAUGGAUGGUUAGAUCAAAAUUAUUCUGAUCUGAAUCCAAACUUUGCUUUGCAACAUUUGAUGCUAUGUGUAUAAGUAGGCUGAAUGUCCCUCCAUUAUAAUUUAUGUAGUACUGUAUUAUUAUUUUUAUUAGAUUUAUAUCCCACGUUUCUAUCCAAAUGAGCCAAGCAGGGAUGUCAACUUGAAUAAAAUAUUGUGAGGAUCCAGGUAGGCCCUGCCCUGCAUAAUUUAUCACAUGACACAGUGCACACAUACUAUUUGAAUUGGAAUGCCCAUCAACUUUGUGGGGGCCCAGCCCCCUCAAAUAUUGUAUUGUGGGGGCCAAAGCCCCCAUGGCCCCUAGGAGUUGGCUCCUAUCGAAUCAAGGGUGGAGAACAACAAGUGAUCAAACAAUUAUAAUAAUAAAUCUUUAAAGCAAUUCCAGUACGCAUUCAUAUUGGGAAAGAUUUCAACUUAAAAGGCUCAUUGAAAGAGGGAAGUCUUCAGUAGGUGCUGUUAAGACAAUCAAGACGGCGUCUGCCUGAUAUUCAAAGGGAAGAAUUACUUAGGGUAGGUGCCAUAACACUAAUGGCCUGAGACCUGUAUUGUGCGGAACAUACUUCCUAUAAAAUGGUAUCUGUAGGAGAAUCUCACAUGCAGAGUGCAGUGACUGACUGGGUUUAUGUCGGGCUGGACAGAGGAGGAGGAGGAAUGGACUUCCUCCCCAUCCUGACCCUUCCAGGGAGGAGGAAGAGGAAGACAGUAUAGAUUUACAACAGUGGUUUGCAGGAGGUCACAGCUCAGAGGCAGAUGAAGGGAAAAGUUGGGAAAUAGUGGGAGGGGAGAGCCGGAGCAGCAGCUGGCUGACAUGUCAUUAGAAAGCGUUCUAGACCCACCAUCUCCCAGAACCUGGCAAGCCUUAAAAGUAGAAGAGCAAAGAGCUUGAAGACAGAGGGCACUUAGUGGCAUCCAUAGAGGAGGUGAUGAUGAUGACAAAUGAGGAAGUGGGAGAGAAUUCACCUGGGACAACACCAUUAUCCAAGAGGCUGGGUUCUAUAACUUCUCUCUGUAAAGUUUGAAAUAAAAAAAGAACUGUAAGAAACUUUUCCUUGUCUUUAUACUUUCCUGGGCAACCAGCUGGGAACUGCUGAUAGCAUCCUGACUGUAUAUAAGGGGUGAGAGAAUCUUUCAGGUACCUGAGAGGCUACAAAAAGAAGUGCAAAAGUCAGGUACAUGAAGAGAAAAUGGGAUCUGUUGUCAUUCCCAUUUGCAAUUGGUUGUCCAGUUACUUAUACAUGGGCAAGUAAUGGAACAAGGCAGAAACCGAGCACAAGAGUCUGCUGGCAUAUUUCUUUGCAUGGUACAUAAUUCAGUGGUAGAAUAUCAGGAUUUUUAUGCAGAAAGUCUUAGGUUCAGCCCUUGACAUCUCCAGGUAGGAUUGGGAAAUAUCACCUGAAUCAUGAUCAAUGAUCAUCUGAAUCAUUGAGAGCCUCUGCCUGUGAAGAUAAUACUGAGCUAGAUGGUCCAAUGUUCUGCCUCAGAAUAUGACAGCUUCCUAUGUUCUGCCUGUCAUAUAUUCUCUGAUAUAUCUAUUUUCAUGAGCAACCCAAUCGCUGAGCUUUGAGAUACGUUGGGGCUGCCAGAGCAUACCUUUGUUUGGCUUCCUUGGAAUGGAAGUCACUGGAGAUUGUGGUCACACAUACACACACACACUGCAGGGCCUCACAGCAUUAACACUCCAUUCCACCUUGUUCCUCCAUUAGGUUUCUAUGGGACUUCAUCACAGAGAGCAAUUCAAGCCUCUUGUCUCCAGUACUUCAGACAGGGCUAGAAAAAAUACUUGCCCCAUCACCAGUUAGUUCUUUCUGUGGCAACAGAGCCAAUUCUUUAGUUAUGUAAAAAAGAAUGCUUGACUAGGGCCAUUGACUUAACAAAGAAAUUGGUCUGACUACUUUAGCAGGUUUUUUUUACCAUGGAAUCCAAUUUUACAAAUAUAGAUACAGUUUGUAAUGGUGUUUUAUCCUUUUUAUGUUGUACACCUUACUGAUUUUUUAAGAUAAAAGUAUAGAAAUACAUUUAAUAAAUGUCAGGAGCUGGCCUGCUUCCGACUUGAGAAAACAGCAUGCAAGAGGUAAUUAACAGAAGAUUGAUUGCAUACAAGCAAUUAGCCUCCGAUCACUCUCCCCGAGCAACCAUCUAUCACAAUUAUGUUGACUCAUCUGAAGAACACUUCCAGCUACUACAGAAUAUCCUGAGCCUCCUACUCUUACGUUUCAGGCGUCGUUGUCUGUCUUGGACUUUUUCCAUUUGUCUAGUUCUGGGACUGAUGGGGUUAGCUACCUCCUCUUCUGCUGAGGAAAUUCUCCCCCACCCCUGUGCCGUGAGUGACUGUGAUUCCUCAGAGAGCUGGCUCCCAUCCAGCCCGCCUUUCCUGUGUUGAUAAGCCUCAUUCCUGCCAGCUACAGAGGGAGGAGGCGACAGACCACUGGUUCCAGCUGUCUGUGAAAUCUGCAAGUCUCCUUCUCCUUCUGCUUGCCUGCUGUCUAGCUCAGGCUGCCCUUCUCAGUUUUGUGCUGUCGUAUCCAUGACAAUAAAUAAAACCACAGAUUUGGACACAGACCCAAAGAUGACAUUGAAACCAUCUUCCAAUCCUGUACCAAUACUGAGAAUGGGGAAGGGGAGAGGAAUGAGAUGCCCCAUGAUAUUCUUGUAAAGAAGCUGGUAAAAUGCGGUCUUGACUAUGCUACCACUCAGUGGAUUUGUAACUGGCUGACUGACCGAACCCAAAGGGUGCUCAUCAAUGGUUCCUCUUCUUCCUGGAGAAGAGUGACUAGUGGGGUGCCACAGGGUUCUGUCUUGGGCCCGGUCUUAUUCAACAUCUUUAUCAACGACUUGGAUGAUGGACUCAAGGGCAUCCUGAUCAAAUUUGCAGAUGACACCAAACUGGGAGGGUGGCUAACACCCCAGAGGACAGGAUCACACUUCAAAACGACCUUGACAGAUUAGAGAACUGGGCCAAAACAAACAAGAUGAAUUUUAACAGGGAGAAAUGUAAAGUAUUGCACUUGGGCAAAAAAAAUGAGAGGCACAAAUACAAGAUGGGGGACACCUGGCUUGAGAGCAGUACAUGUAAAAAGGAUCUAGGAGUCUUGGUUGACCACAAACUUGACAUGAGCCAACAGUGUGACGCGGCAGCUAAAAAAGCCAAUGCAAUUCUGGGCUGUAUCAAUAGGAGUAUAGCAUCUAGAUCAAGGGAAGUAAUAGUGCCACUGUAUUCUGCUCUGGUCAGACCUCACCUGGAGUACUGUGUCCAGUUCUGGGCACCACAGUUCAAGAAGGACACUGACAAACUGGAACGUGUCCAGAGGAGGGCAACCAAAAUGGUCAAAGGCCUGGAAACGAUGCCUUAUGAGGAACGGCUAAGGGAGCUGGGCAUGUUUAGCCUGGAAAAGAGGAGGUUAAGGGGUGAUAUGAUAGCCAUGUUCAAAUAUAUAAAAGGAUGUCACAUAGAGGAGGGAGAAAGGUUGUUUUCUGCUGCUCCAGAGAAGCGGACACGGAGCAAUGGAUCCAAACCACAAGAAAAAAGAUUCCACCUAAACAUUAGGAAGAACUUCCUGACAGUAAGAGCUGUUUGACAGUGGAAUUUGCUGCCAAGGAGUGUGGUGGAGUCUCCUUCUUUGGAGGUCUUUAAGCAGAGGCUUGACAACCAUAUGUCAGGAGUGCUCUGAUGGUGUUUCCCGCUUGGCAGGGGGUUGGACUCGAUGGCCCUUGUGGUCUCUUCCAACUCUAUGAUUCUAUGAUAGCUGAUGUCAUAUCCUGUUACAGAUGCAAUUAAAACAUGCCUUUCCUCUUCAGAACUAUCUUAGGAAGCAGUCCAAUACUGAUUCACGUCUAUAUAAAUUUUCAGGAUAGGAGCUGCAUUGAGAAGCUGCUACCUGUAGCUCUGUAGUUCUGUGGUUCACUACACGAGGCAGAUAUCCACAGAGAUCUUAAUUGUUCCUGACAUUUUGCCAUCCUGUGCUCAAUGUCAGAAAUGAGAGUUUCAAAUGGCAGAGACUAACGAUUUAUGUUUCAGACUGGCCAUUUUGGGGAGCAUGGUGGUGUUUUAGGUUUUCUUAGGUAAGCUGUUUGCAGGAUCCUAGAUGGAAAGGUGAAAGAGAAGUGCUCUUCCAUUAAUACCUGUCUUAGGGCCCAGGGGAGAACUAGCAGUAGAAGAUCCUGCAAUAUGACCCUGAUACCAAAUUACAGAACAUGGCUUUAUAACAAGACAGUAAUUCAGAUACCUCCAUUGUACAUGCACAGACUUAUAAAGCUUAGUUAUUUCAACAUUUAGAUCCUCACUGGUUGCUGCAGCAUUUUAUUAAGGAUCCUGCUUGCACAGAAAGGGUUGUCACAUCUCCAGGCAAGCAUUAAAAGAAAUGUUCAAAAUAACUAGACUGCCCCAGGGGCGAACGAUUUAUUUGCUGGCAACCGAUGCAUCCUCAAUAUGCUUAUUCUACUGUUUUCUCACUACAUGUUAAAUCUCAGUAAGCCCACAUGUUUUUCCCCACUUACCUCUGCUAUAUAACUCACAAAACUCUAUUGGUGCAAAUGUUACUGCGUUGCAAUGCAAGGCAGUUAAGAUUAUUUUUGUUGCUUAAUCAAUUGAAUUGCUAUCAUUUUUUGUUGUUUCCUCCCCACAAGGAAGGUUAAUCAAAGAACUAGGAGAGAGAUUCGCAGUUCUAAGAAAUGAAAAGAAUGGUAAUUUCUGAAAUUAUUUUGUGGGGACACGAAUGGACAUGUUGUAGAAUUCUAGUCCAACCCUCUGCAAUGCAGGUAUCACAGCUAAAUAAUUCAUGAGAGCGUGUCACCCAACCUCUUU